GUUGCCUUUGCUUUUGAAUACUCAUUUAAUACACAGAGUUCUGUUAUAAAAAGUGUAAUUAUCAAUUUAAUUAACAAUUAAAUACAAAUAAAUAUAUUAUACAGUAUUCAACAACCUAUUGAUGAAAGUGUACAGCAGCAGGAAGUUCAGAGAGGAGGAAGUUCCUGUGUGUGUUUGUGACUGAUCUGCAGUGACUUACAGCUCAGAGCACUGAGAGCCUCAACAGAGAACUGAACUGAUCUGAUUGAACAUGGACAGAUGCUUCAUACUGAUCCUCAUCGUGGGAACAGGUUUAGUGGCUGGAGACAGCCUUGAUCCAGAUAAAGGAACAGACAAAAACUCUGAAGAAAGAGAAACUGUCAAGCUGAGCUGCUCUUAUAGUACAAGUAGUGAAUAUGUACGGCUUUACUGGUACAGACAGUAUCCCAACAGAGAACCUGUGUAUUUAUUACUCAAAAAUGCACGGUCAGCAGAUGAUUACGAACACACCUCUGAUAAUCGAUUUCAGUCGACUGCAGCACGUAGAUCCACUGAACUCACUAUCACUGAUGUACGUCUGUCAGAUUCAGCUCUCUAUUAUUGUGCUCUAAGAGUAGUAGCCCAGUGAUACAAAACAUGAAGAAUGUCGUACAAAAACCUGAAGAUCUUUUUAUUCUAGUGAAAAACCACAAUCAAAACCACAAUCUAUCCAGCCCUGAAUGUAAUACAAUAUGUGGUCACAGCUGUGAGAGGCUGAAUCAGGCCUGUUAAAAAAAUUCCAAGAAGUAUUGACAAUUUGUUAAGAUAUCACAGCCUAUGUGGUUCCUUUUAUGCACAAAUAUAUUCUUAAUAUAACAUCUUAAUUGUUUGUCAUGCAAGUUAAAAAACAGGGAGCAAUUAGAGGGAGGCUGAUUUGUUUAAUGGGUGCUGAUAUAUCAUUCUGUUUUAAUAUUAAUAUUUUCUUUGUGCUUCUUCAAACCGUGUCUUUCAGCACCAUACCCAUUGAGUUCAUUGCUGUGUUGACUCUCCAACAGCAUCCAGUCUAUUCUAUUUAAUAUUAUCACUCAGUCUUGUAGGUUUAUUUUUAUGGCUUUGUCAGUGACUUUGGAGCUUGUUCUCCCACUGACACACAGGAUAUUGUCAUACUUAAAUCUAGUCCUCCAUAAAUUAAAGCCACAUACAUUGUAUAUGACUCAAAGCAUGUGAAAAUCUCUUUAAAGUCACAGGCUUUGUUAUUACAGUAAUUUUACAUGUAUUAAUUUAGCAGAUGCUUUCACCCAAAGUGUCUUUAUAAAUUGUGAGAUAUAAUAACAUUCUCGGGAACUGUGUACUU